UUGUCUGUUGUUAUUGUAACAAAAUGGGCUGUUUUUUAAGGCUUCUGGCUUCUGCGGUGUGACAGGGCAAAGACUGACGCAGUAGGGGAUAGAAGAUGUUCCUUCUCUUUGCUGCUGGUCCAGAGGCUGAAUAGGGUGAAAGGAAUUCAUCGAACAUCAUCUGCUCGUUCACCUGUUCUCUCAGAGAAGACCCAUCAUCCUAGAGCAUUGAGACUGGAUAGAUUGCUUUGUUGGAAGAGCCACCCCAUCUUCACCAGAGUGGUGUAGAAGUGAGCCCCACCGCAGGCAGGCUGCUCUCCUGCUCAGAUGUCUUCAGGAUUCCUGUCACCUCUUCUUCCGUGGAAAACCACCACGGCCAUUCUAAUCUUCUCUGGGGUCAGCGGACUAUUGAGCUUCAACGGUCCAAACAGCCCUCUCUCCUGUCGUGCUGCACUUACCGCGUCCUGGAUGGCGAAAAACACCGAACACCCCAGGAAUAUCCCAGACUCUCCCAGACCCUGGAAGGGAAACAAGUCAACUAGAUUAUGACUCUCUCUUUCUCUCUCUGUGUAUAUAUACAUAUGUAUGUGUAUUAUGUAUAUGUGCAUCUAUAGGUACAUAUGUGCAUGUACGGGAUUCCAGCCUAAGGAAAUGAUCCCAAAUGGAGAAAGCAGAUAUAGGCAUUAAGAUGAUUAUUGGCAUGAAGAUGAAAAAUCAGACAACCUGAUGCUUUCACGUCCUGAGGACACUGAAACAUCCUAUGGAGAGGUCCAUGUGGUGAGGAAUGGAGACCUCUGGCCAACAGCCAGUGAGAAACUGAAGCUUCCUGCCAACAACCACGCAAUGCAGCUUGGAAUCGGAUUCUCCAGCUGCCACUGAGCCUUGAGAUGACUGCAACCCUUGGCGGUAGUCAACAGCUUGGCGGUAACCACAUGAGGAAACCCAAGCCAGCAUCACCCCAAUAAGCCACUCCCAGGUUCCUGACCCUCAGAAAUGGUAUCAGCUAAUAAAUGUCUGUUAAAGCAAUUCCAUCAAUAUGAACAGAAUUUCUGAAAAACAGGCCACAGGGAGGUCCCUUAGUGGGAUGUCACAUUAUGGCCUUUUGCCUUGGGGUGAUACCUAACCUGAGCCUCAGAUCUAGCUUUUAUGAAGACAUCUGAUAAGGCUGUCUCAUGCAUCUCUUAGGAUUGUUCAGUUAGGCUUCCCUGGUGGCGCAGUGGUUAAGAAUCCGCCUGCCAAUGCAGAGGACACGGGUUUGAGCCCUGGUCCAGGAAGAUCUCACAUGCUGCCAAGCAACUAAGCCCGUGCACCAUAAUUACUGAGCCUGUGCUCUAGAGCCCGCGAGACACAACUACUGAGGCCGCAUGCCACAACUACUGAAGCCCUUGCACCUAGAGCCCGUGCUCCACAAAGAGAAGUCUCUGCCAUGAGAAGGCUGCGCACUGCAAUGAAAGAGUAGCCCCCGCUCGCUGCAACUAGAGAAAGCCCGUGCACAGCAACAAAGACCCAACGCAGCCAAAAAUAAAUAAAUUGAUAUAAAAAAAGAUUGUUCAAUAAAUUAUAAGAGCACACCUUAACAUUUAACACCAAGGCUAAUUAUUACCCUGUUCUUAGAUCUUAACAAGACCAAGGCACAUGCAAGACACAAAAAAACCCAAAUGAUUAA